UACGAAGGGGGCUCGCGUUGCUCGGACUCACUGGGCGUAACGGGUGCGUAGGCGGGUCUUUAAGUCAGGGGUGAAAUCCUGGAGCUCAACUCCAGAACUGCCUUUGAUACUGAGGAUCUUGAGUUCGGGAGAGGUGAGUGGAACUGCGAGUGUAGAGGUGAAAUUCGUAGAUAUUCGCAAGAACACCAGUGGCGAAGGCGGCUCACUGGCCCGAUACUGACGCUGAGGCACGAAAGCGUGGGGAGCAAACAGG
rnacentral:rRNA from 1 species